AGGGAAAGCUGGCGGCAUGCUUUACACAUGCAAGUCGAACGGCAGCGCGGGCUUCGGCCUGGCGGCGAGUGGCGAACGGGUGAGUAAUGCAUCGGAACGUGCCCAGUAGUGGGGGAUAGCCCGGCGAAAGCCGGAUUAAUACCGCAUACGACCUGAGGGUGAAAGCGGGGGACCGAAAGGCCUCGCGCUAUUGGAGCGGCCGAUGUCGGAUUAGCUAGUUGGUGGGGUAAAGGCUUACCAAGGCGACGAUCCGUAGCUGGUCUGAGAGGACGACCAGCCACACUGGGACUGAGACACGGCCCAGACUCCUACGGGAGGCAGCAGUGGGGAAUUUUGGACAAUGGGGGCAACCCUGAUCCAGCCAUGCCGCGUGCGGGAAGAAGGCCUUCGGGUUGUAAACCGCUUUUGUUCGGGAAGAAAUCCUCUGGGCUAAUACCCCGGGGGGAUGACGGUACCGGAAGAAUAAGCACCGGCUAACUACGUG
rnacentral:rRNA from 1 species